CAACGCUAAUAGAGAGUUUUAGUACUGCGGAAUGGUGCUACGUACGCAUCACGCAAGCGCCUUGCGUUACGUGGCGUCGUUUGCCACGAAUGGGCUUUUAGUACGCCGUAGUACCCGCGUACGUAACGAACGUGAAGCGUGUUGCGCCAUCUGGUAGAUCAAUAUAGAAGUACGUGUUGUUGACGGCCAAUCUGAGCCAAUCCAAGUGUGCUAGCCGGAUUAUGGCCAUAUGUUUAGCCACUGUACCGGCCGGUGCUCGCCUUUGAUGCCGCCAUUUUGCGAAACGAAGUCUCGCGCUGUCGCGAACGUGUUCGAGAGCGGCGCGACCACCUCAUACGUACGCACGCACGCAUCGCAUGCGUGCGUACGUAGCGGCCACGUACGUAACGCGAUACGUGCGCGUUGCGGUCUGCGCAUGCGCACUGCGCAAAACGUGGCGUCCUUACGUACGCAACGCCGCCACGUACGAUACGUACGCAGUACUAAAA